GAUGAACGCUAGCGGCAGGCCUAAUACAUGCAAGUCGGACGGGAUUCAGGAGCUUGCUUCUGAUGAGAGUGGCGCACGGGUGCGUAACACGUAUGUAACCUACCUUUAUCAGGGGGAUAGCCUCUCGAAAGAGAGAUUAAGCCCGCAUAAAAUCACAGCACAGCAUUGUGUAAUGAUCAAAUAUUUAUAGGAUAAAGAUGGGCAUGCGGAACAUUAGCUAGAUGGCGGGGUAACGGCCCACCAUGGCGACGAUGUUUAGGGGAUCUGAGAGGAUGGCCCCCCACACUGGUACUGAGACACGGACCAGACUCCUACGGGAGGCAGCAGUAAGGAAGAUUGGUCAAUGGGCGGAAGCCUGAACCAGCCAUGCCGCGUGCAGGAAGACGGCCCUACGGGUUGUAAACUGCUUUUAUACGGGAAUAAACCCAGAUACGUGUAUCUGGCUGAAUGUACUGUAAGAAUAAGGAUCGGCUAACUCCGUG
rnacentral:rRNA from 1 species